GUGGGGAAUAUUGGACAAUGGGCGAAAGCCUGAUCCAGCAAUGCCGCGUGAGUGAUGAAGGCCUUAGGGUUGUAAAGCUCUUUUACCAGGGAUGAUAAUGACAGUACCUGGAGAAUAAGCUCCGGCUAACUCCGUGCCAGCAGCCGCGGUAAUACGGAGGGAGCUAGCGUUGUUCGGAAUUACUGGGCGUAAAGCGCGCGUAGGCGGUUUUUUAAGUCAGAGGUGAAAGCCCGGGGCUCAACCCCGGAAUUGCCUUUGAAACUGGAAAACUUGAAUCUUGGAGAGGUCAGUGGAAUUCCGAGUGUAGAGGUGAAAUUCGUAGAUAUUCGGAAGAACACCAGUGGCGAAGGCGACUGACUGGACAAGUAUUGACGCUGAGGUGCGAAAGCGUGGGGAGCAAACAGGAUUAGAUACCCCUGUAGUCC
rnacentral:rRNA from 1 species